AUUGAACGCUGGCGGCAUGCCUUACACACGCAAGUCGAACGGCAGCACGGGCUUCGGUCUGGUGGCGAGUGGCGAACGGGUGAGUAAUGUAUCGGAACGUACCUUUCAGUGGGGGAUAACGUAGCGAAAGUUACGCUAAUACCGCAUAUUCUGUGAGCAGGAAAGCAGGGAUCGCAAGACCUUGCGCUGAUUGAGCGGCCGAUAUCAGAUUAGCUAGUUGGUGAGGUAAAGGCUCACCAAGGCGACGAUCUGUAGCGGGUCUGAGAGGAUGAUCCGCCACACUGGACCUGAGACACGGUCCAGAAUGCUACGGGAGGCAGCAGUGGGGAAUUUUGGACAAUGGGGGCAACCCUGAUCCAGCCAUGCCGCGUGAGUGAAGAAGGCCUUCGGGUUGUAAAGCUCUUUCGGCCGGGAAGAAAUCGCAUAGGUUAAUACCCUGUGUGGAUGACGGUACCGGAAUAAGAAGCACCGGCUAACUACGUGCCAGCCGCCGCAGUAA
rnacentral:rRNA from 1 species